UUAAGUUCAGCGGGUAGUCCUACCUGAUUUGAGGUCAAACAAGUCAUUAAGAGUCCCGUAAAGGACGGUUAGAAAGCAGAUACCUCGGAGACACUACCUUUGACGACGAUACUAUCACGCCAAAAAGUGAAUGAAUCCUGCAAGCGGUUUCCACUAAUGCAUUUAAGGAGAGCCGACCUCUUGAGAAGCCCGCAACCCCC
rnacentral:misc_RNA from 1 species